GGCGCAAAGCUCAAUAACACGUAGAUAAUCUGCCCUUAGGAGGGGGAUACCCCCGGGAAACUGGGCUCAAUACCCCAUAGGCGUUGUAUGCUGGAAUGCUUCAACGCUCAAAGCUUCGGCACCUAAGGAUGAGUCUGCGGCUGAUUAGGUUGUUGGUAAGCUAAAGUCUUAUCAAGCCUAUAAUCAGUACGGGCCUUGAGAGAGGAAGCCCGGAGAUGGACUCUGAUACAACAGUCCAGGUCCUACGGGACGCAGCAGGCGCGAAACUUUCGCAAUGCACGCAAGUGUGACGAAGGAACUUGGAGUGACUUCUCCGUUUAGGAGGAGUCUUUUGUCAAGUGUAAAAAGCUUGGCGAAUAAGAGGUGGGCAACACAGUUGCCAGCCGCCGCGGUAAUAACUGGGCCUCGAGUGGUGACCGCUAUUAUUGGGUUUAAAGCGUUCGUAGCCGGCUUGUUAAGUCCCUCGUGAAAUUCGGCAGCUAACUGUCGAAAUUGCUGGGGAUACUGACAGGCUAGAGACCGGGAGAGGUUGAGGGUAUUCUUGGGGUAAGGGUAAAAUCUUAUAAUCCCAAGAGGACCACCUGUGGCGAAGGCGCUCAACUAGAACGGAUCUGACGGUGAGGGACGAAAGCCAGGGGAGCAAACGGGAUUAGAUACCCCGGUAGUCCUGGCUGUAAACCAUGCCCAUUAGACAUUGGCAUUCUCAAGGGGGAUGCCAGAGUCGUAGGGAAACCGUUAAAUGGGCCACCUGGGAAGUACGGUCGCAAGGCUGAAACUUAAGGGAAUUGGCGGGGGAGCACACAAGGGGUGGAGGCUGCGGUUCAAUUCGAUUCAACGCGAGGAACCUUACCAGUGGCGACAGCAGAAUGAAGGUCAGGCUGAAGGUCUUACCAGACACGCUGAGAGGUGGUGCAUGGCCGUCGUCAGUUCGUGCCGUGAGGUGUCGACUUAAGUGUCGUAACGAACAAGACCCGCGCCGUAUGUUACUAUCGCAUGUUUUCAUGCGAGUACUCAUGCGGGACCGCUGCUGAUAAAGCAGAGGAAGGAGCGGUCGACGGCAGGUCCGUAUGCUCUGAAUCCACUGGGAUACACGCGGCCUACAAUGGCCGGAAUAAUGGGAUGCAACCCCGAAAGGGGGAGCCAAUCCUCAAAUCCGGCCUCAGUUCAGAUUGGGGGCUGCAACUCGCCCCCAUGAAGGCGAAAUCCCUAGUAGUCGCUGGUCAUCAUCUAGCGGCGAAUAAGUUCCUGCUCCUUGCACACACUGCCCGUCAAGCCAACCGAGUGGGGAAUUGGCGAGCUUCCGUUUUUUGGCGGAAUCAAGCCAGAGCCCUGUGAGGUGGGCUAAGUCGUAACAAGGUA
rnacentral:rRNA from 1 species